GUCUCCUUGAAGACGUCUGAUAAAAUUGAAACGAUACAGAGACGAUUAGCAUAGCCCGUAGGCAAGGAUGUCACAGGGUGUGUAGCGCGCUCUAACCAACUAGA